rnacentral:rRNA from 1 species
AACCUGCCUAUAAGACUGGGAUAACUUCGGGAAACCGGAGCUAAUACCGGAUACGUUCUUUUCUCGCAUGAGAGAAGAUGGAAAGACGGUUUCGGCUGUCACUUAUAGAUGGGCCCGCGGCGCAUUAGCUAGUUGGUGAGGUAAUGGCUCACCAAGGCGACGAUGCGUAGCCGACCUGAGAGGGUGAUCGGCCACACUGGGACUGAGACACGGCCCAGACUCCUACGGGAGGCAGCAGUAGGGAAUCUUCCGCAAUGGACGAAAGUCUGACGGAGCAACGCCGCGUGAACGAAGAAGGCCUUCGGGUCGUAAAGUUCUGUUGUUAGGGAAGAACAAGUACCAGAGUAACUGCUGGUACCUUGACGGUACCUAACCAGAAAGCCACGGCUAACUACGUGCCAGCAGCCGCGGUAAUACGUAGGUGGCAAGCGUUGUCCGGAAUUAUUGGGCGUAAAGCGCGCGCAGGUGGUUCUUUAAGUCUGAUGUGAAAGCCCACGGCUCAACCGUGGAGGGUCAUUGGAAACUGGGGAACUUGAGUGCAGAAGAGGAAAGUGGAAUUCCAAGUGUAGCGGUGAAAUGCGUAGAGAUUUGGAGGAACACCAGUGGCGAAGGCGACUUUCUGGUCUGUAACUGACACUGAGGCGCGAAAGCGGGGGGGAGCAAACAGGGAUUAGAUACCCCUGGUAGUCCACGCCCGUAAACCGAUGAGUGCUAAGGGGUUAGAGGGGUUUCCGCCCCUUUAGGGGCUGCAGCCUAACGCCUUUAAGCACCUCCGCCCUGGGGGAGUACCGACCGCCAAGGGUUGAAAACUCCAAAAGGAAUUUGACGGGGGGCCCCGCACAAAGCGGGUGGAGCCAUGUGGGUUUAAAUUCCGAAAGCAACCGCGGAAGAAAACCUUAC